GAUGAACGCUGGCGGCGUGCUUAACACAUGCAAGUCGAACGAUGAAGCCCAGCUUGCUGGGUGGAUUAGUGGCGAACGGGUGAGUAACACGUGAGUAACCUGCCCUUAACUCUGGGAUAAGCCUGGGAAACUGGGUCUAAUACCGGAUAGGAGCGCCUACCGCAUGGUGGGUGUUGGAAAGAUUUAUCGGUUUUGGAUGGACUCGCGGCCGAUCAGCUUGUUGGUGAGGUAAUGGCUCACCAAGGCGACGACGGGUAGCCGGCCUGAGAGGGUGACCGGCCACACUGGGACUGAGACACGGCCCAGACUCGUACGGGAGGCAGCAGUGGGGAAUAUUGCACAAUGGGCGAAAGCCUGAUGCAGCGACGCCGCGUGAGGGAUGACGGCCUUCGGGUUGUAAACCUCUUUCAGUAGGGAAGAAGCGAAAGUGACGGUACCUGCAGAAGAAGCACCGGCUAACUACGUG
rnacentral:rRNA from 1 species